GGCAGCAGCGAGCGGCCUCGCCCCCCGCGCUGCCAAGCCGCGAGCCCACAUCAUGGAUGGCGAGCUCUCGGGUUUCGCCUGGCUCGCCCUGGCAUCCCAGACCCCAGACGACCAGCGGGAUUCAUGAGUCGCUUGCAGGGGCCGGGGCAGGGGCCUCUGGCUCCCAAAGCUGGCCAAGAGGUGAUGAGUGAGACCAGGAGAACGCAAGAUUUAAAAAGCAACCGGGGCCUCCGUUUUGAAUGAACGACCCAGAGCAAAGGCAUCACCAUGAACACGAGCAUUCCUUACCAGCAGAGUCCGUACAGUCCCAGGGGCAGCUCCAAUGUCAUCCAGUGCUACCGCUGCGGAGACACCUGCAAGGGGGAGGUGGUCCGUGUCCACAACAACCACUUCCACAUCAGAUGUUUCACUUGUCAAGUGUGUGGCUGCGGCCUGGCCCAGUCGGGCUUCUUCUUCAAGAACCAGGAGUACAUCUGCACCCAGGACUACCAGCAGCUCUAUGGCACCCGCUGUGACAGCUGCCGGGACUUCAUCACGGGUGAGGUCAUCUCCGCUCUGGGCCGCACCUACCACCCUAAGUGCUUCGUGUGCAGCUUGUGCAGGAAGCCUUUCCCUAUUGGAGACAAGGUGACCUUCAGUGGUAAAGAAUGUGUAUGCCAGACAUGCUCCCAGUCCAUGACCAGCAGUAAGCCAAUCAAGAUCCGUGGACCGAGCCACUGUGCUGGGUGCAAAGAGGAGAUUAAACAUGGGCAGUCCCUCCUGGCACUGGACAAGCAGUGGCACGUCAGCUGUUUCAAAUGCCAGACCUGUAGCGUCAUCCUCACCGGGGAGUAUAUUAGCAAGGAUGGUGUUCCGUACUGCGAGUCUGACUACCACUCCCAGUUUGGCAUUAAAUGUGAGACUUGUGACCGGUACAUCAGUGGCAGGGUCUUGGAGGCAGGAGGGAAACACUACCACCCCACCUGUGCCAGAUGUGUACGCUGCCACCAGAUGUUCACGGAAGGGGAGGAGAUGUAUCUCACAGGUUCUGAGGUUUGGCACCCGAUCUGCAAGCAGGCAGCCAGGGCAGAGAAGAAGCUCAAGCAUAGACGGACAUCUGAAACCUCCAUCUCACCUCCCGGAUCCAGCAUUGGGUCACCUAACAGAGUCAUCUGCGCUAAAGUGGAUAAUGAGAUCCUUAAUUACAAAGACCUGGCAGCUCUUCCCAAGGUUAAGUCCAUCUACGAGGUGCAACGCCCCGACCUCAUUUCCUACGAGCCUCAUUCCAGAUACACGUCCGACGAGAUGCUGGAGAGAUGCGGUUAUGGCGAGGACAUCUAUGAGAACCUGGACCUCCGGCAGAGACGGGCCUCCAGUCCAGGAUACAUAGAUUCUCCCACCUACAGUCGGCAAGGCAUGUCCCCCACCUUCUCCCGCUCACCUCAUCACUACUACCGCUCAGGGCCUGAGAGUGGCCGGAGCUCUCCAUACCAUAGCCAGUUAGAUGUGAGGUCCUCCACUCCAACCUCUUACCAGGCUCCCAAGCACUUUCACAUCCCAGCUGGAGAAAGUAACAUCUACCGAAAACCCCCGAUCUACAAACGGCAUGGUGAUUUGUCCACGGCAACCAAGAGCAAAACAAGUGAAGACAUCAGCCAGGCCUCCAAGUAUAGCCCCGCCUACUCGCCAGACCCCUACUAUGCUUCAGAGUCCGAGUAUUGGACCUACCACGGGUCCCCUAAAGUGCCCCGCGCCAGAAGGUUCUCAUCUGGAGGAGAGGAAGAAGAUUUUGACCGAAGCAUGCACAAGCUCCAGAGUGGGAUUGGCCGGCUGAUUCUGAAGGAAGAGAUGAAGGCACGAUCAAGCUCCUAUGCGGAUCCCUGGACCCCUCCACGGAGCUCCACCAGCAGCCGGGAGGCCCUACACACCGCCGGCUACGACAUGUCCCUCAAUGGCUCCCCUCGUUCACACUACCUGGCCGACAGUGAUCCCCUCAUCUCCAAAUCUGCCUCCCUGCCUGCCUACAGAAGAAAUGGGCUGCACAGGACACCCAGCGCAGACCUCUUCCACUAUGACAGCAUGAACGCAGUCAACUGGGGCAUGCGAGAGUACAAGGUAAAGAACACGUAGACCCUGGGGGUCUCCAGAUUCUGGGAACCACUACCUUGGGGAGCAGCAAGAGGAUGGCAGCAUCAUCUAUGCAGAGAAGAAGCAUAGAUGAAGAACCUUUCAGGGCUAACAUUGUCUCUCCUUGGCCCUUCAUCCCCAAGUCCUCCCUGAGUCUCUUUUAACCCUUUUCCUGUCCCUAAGAAUUCUGGGACACCACAGGUGCCAAUUGGGCAGGUUAACAGCCACCAACUAUUAGAUACUUAGAUACAUAAAUCCUUGGGCCCACAUUCAUGUCAAUUGCCACCACCAAGCUUAUUUUUAGCAAUGAUACGGCACUCUGGGGACCAUGCCCACCCAAGGGGGGCGGACCCAGUCUUUCCUCCUGACUAAAUGUCUGGCCUUGGUGGAUAGAAGCAGCAUCCCAGGCUCAAACUGCAGCUAGAAAUGACAAACUCACCCCCCUAACCCAAGCUAGACAUGCCCCACCCCUUUUUCCUUAGAUCUACCCAUAUGAGCUGCUGCUGGUGACCACAAGAGGGAGAAACCGACUGCCAAAGGACGUGGACCGGACCCGCUUAGAGCGCCACCUGUCCCAGGAGGAGUUCUACCAAGUCUUCGGCAUGACCAUCUCAGAGUUCGAGAGGCUAGCCCUCUGGAAGAGGAACGAACUGAAGAAGCAAGCCCGGCUGUUCUAGGCGGAGGCUCUAUACAUAUAGAUGCAUUUAUAUAAAGAUGUAUGUAAAUCUCUAUCCCCACACGCAGUAUAAUCCUCUUGUAUAAUGGGACCUAACAUGCUGCCUGCCAUGAGACUUGCUUUUCUGUACUGUCAGGCGAGCCCACAUCAUCGAGGUAUUUUUAUGCUCCUUGCUUCUCUUUUCUAAGUGCUGUGGGAUCUGGGAAGGGAUUUGAAGGGACUCCAUCCUUUCACUGGGGAUCCUUUUUAUACUGAAACAUCUGUCCCACCUUGAGUCCCCAAGGUCUAACUCUACUUUUAAAAGGUGCCUGGAGGAGCCUCUACUCCCUGUUUCAGGACCUUUCCCCAGUCUCCUGGGCUGAUGCUGGCCAUGCAGUUUUCACACACUGUGGUCACAGAUGGGCCCUCCGGUGGAAGGUCCACAAUGAUCCACCCAAAUCAGUGAGGUCUGAUUUGAGGCCACGUGAAGAAUUUUCUCUACACUUCCAAAUAGGAGCUAAGGGCUCUUUGGGGUGAUGUAGUUAGAUGUGUGGGCCUCAUUCCUUACAUUAGUACAGAGUGGAUGGGCCCUGGCCUCUCCUCGGCGCAGCACCCCUUCUUCUACCCUCAGUCCUGACCACUCCCUCGUGCAAAUCUAGAAUUCUUGGUAGGAGAAGGAAAAGGCACUUCCCUUCCCUUCUGCCACCCCCAACUGGCUCCUGUCCACACCUCAGUGGCCCUAGCACCCCCCCACACCCUUCCCCCUUUCUAUGAGAGGCCAUUAUUGCAGCCUGUACUCUUCAGCCUUAUUACAAUCUAUGUGCCUGAUGAUCUUCUACACACCACAGGGCUAACGUUUCCAUCGUAGCUCCAUCGAGCAUCCAAACACACUCACCACCCUGUGCAGGGAGACUAGAACCCAUCCCAAAGAAAGCUCUUUGGUCUAUGCCACUGGUCCCUAGAUGACAAUGCAUUCAGAUUGGACCCACCCCCACCCCCAGGUCCUGCUACAACGUUGGCUGGGUCUCAGAAGCUUUCAGGAGCGUGGCUGUUGGGGGGAUUCUAGAAUGAGGCAUUGACCAACACUGCUCACGCUCUGCCCCGGUGGCCUCGGGGACUGACUGUCCUGCUUCUUGCAACAGGUGAAACAGACAGAGCCUUCCCUCACCCCAACCACAAUUCUGAGUUGUUGGUUGGUGGCAGCUCUUCCUUCUUGGAGAUGCCUGUAUCACUCUAUUGGGGGUUGGGGUGGCCCUCAGAGGAAAGAUGGAGAAGUUUAAAAGGACAAUUAUGAUGCUCAAGGGGCGGGUGAUGCGACGUGGCAAGUGUAGAACUGACUUCAGCAAACCCUUCCUGAGCACCUGCUGAAUGCUGAGCACUGAGUGGGGGGGAGGGGGAGGGGCACUGGGAAUAAAUCAAAGAGGGCCCUAGGGUCACAACAAGUAACAGGAGACCUGGUAAGACGCUGAACCAGACAUAACGGAUGCAAGGCAGAAAGUGAUGGACGGAGGCCUGAGAAAGUGUGCGAGACGUUGCUGAAGGCGUGUGCAGCUGGGGCAGACCAAGGAAGCUUCUGGAAGAGGUUGCCUGCAAUGGAAUCAGGAAGGCUCUGAGGAAUCUGCAAGCUGGAAGGGCGACGGGGUGGAAGGAUCAGAAGGGAAGUCUAAUCAUUUAAAAUGUCACCUCCCUGCAACUUCUCUUUUUUGGCCAAUGUCUUUCAACUUUCCUGACCCAUUUAGAAAUGUCCCCAGCCAGAUGCAAUCAUUGAAACUGCCUCAUUGUCACUGGUUAACAACUUGUGAGAUUGAAGGGCUUUUGUUAUUGUUGUUGGAUAUUUUUGUUUCCCAUAAAAGCACAUCAUUUCAACCCAAA